rnacentral:lncRNA from 1 species
AUUACUAAUAUACGUUUUAACAGGACUCUUCUUCGAGAAUUUCAUGAAACUUCCAUUUAGACCAUCACUUUUUUCUUGCUUGGCUGGUGAUGACGGUCGCGGUUGUUCUAUCUUCUUCUUGUUUCCUUUAUUCAUUUCCUUUCCUUUAUCAGUAUCCCACCUGUCGCUGAAGUCAGUGUAGAAGUUGUCCAAAUCAUUUUUAUUGAAUCUUGUUUGGACAUUAGAGUACGGAUUGUAUGGAGAUAAGGUUUUGGGCAUUUUUUCGUAAGAAGAACCAGAAAAGAAAGACUUGAAGCUUUGUAAGGUUUUCUGGAAGAAUUUCUUGGUGUUGGAGAAGGAGCUUUUUAGCAACAUUGUCAAUGGUGGUGGUUAGUUCAGUUGUUUUAUGUGGAGGUACAAAAGAAACAGAUACUAUUUGUCUCUCUAUCUCUCAGUUUCUUUAUAGAGAAAGAAGAGAUAGAGGAGCCAUGAAAGGUUCUUGAAAUUACUAAAGAGAAAGAAAAGAGAAUGCAGUGGGCAGCAUUAUGUCUGUUUGUCUUUACACGCUCUUCUUUUUUCUUUUUGUUGUAUUAAUUUCUUGAAAUCCAGCUGAGUCCCCACCCACUGAUCAUAUCUCUCUCCCACACACGAAGGUAUCGAAAGAAAAUGGUAAAGCUUAUGUGAAAGUUUGAUGAAUAUUUAUUAUAAGAAAGUUUUCCAUCAUUUUUACUUUGUAAGGUGGAGUUGGUGUGUAGGGCUCUUUGGGAGAAAGGAAAGGAAAGGAGCGGGUGUGGUUGUUGAACUGGCUCUUUCUUUCUCUACAUUCUUUGGCUCUAGCGGCUUGUUGGUAAGAGUUCUGUUAUCGUAUAUUGCCUGCUGUUCUCCCUAUAUAUACACAUACAAAUACAUUCUCAUUGUACAUCCCCAUAUAAGAUUUAAUUCAAUAAUAAAUAAUGGGGCCACAGAAUUGCAAAUUAAGUAUUAUCAACUAUAUUAAUCACAUGGAGACAAAAAAAAAAAAAAAAAUUGUGUGUGAAGAUUUUUUUUUAAUUUUAUGAUAUGGCUCUAUAAAUCAAAUUUUAAUUAACAAAAUGAGAGUAAACUCACUUGUUUAAUGAAUUAUGAGUUUAAAUUUAAUAAAUACUACUAACUAAUUAGUAGGAUAAUUAAAAUCAUUGGAGGUAGGCAUGACGUCUAUGUAAUAAGGUGUAGAGUAUCUCUCUCAUAGACACUUCAAUCAUUAGGAUGUCUCUUUUAAUCGAUGUAGUAAUUAGUAAUUAGGAUUAGAUUUGUUUAUUUUGCUCGUAAUAUAUUAAAAUGUUUUGGUUCGAGAAUCAUAAGAUGAUGGACCAUUCCCUCCCCACUAUAAGACAAAUUCCCGUGAAUCACGGAUUGGAUCGACUUGCACUAUUUCUACACUAUUAAUUAAGUCAAAACCAACACUAAUUGACCAAAAGUAAGCCAUAAGACCAACAAUGUCUCUAAUCAUUGAUGAUUUUUUUUUUUUUUUGGGAUGAAUGAUAUUAUUUUAUUUGAUACAUUAAUACCCAAUUAAUAUUUAAAAUUGAAUCAUUAACUACUAUAGUAAGCAAUUUAUCAUUGUAUUCUAACAAUAUUGAAAUUAAUUUUUUUUACACCCAAAUAUAAACCUAUAGCCUGGGUGAUUCCAUAGAUUGCAGGGGCAACGUAUGUUACCGUUAAGCAGCAUAAUUAUACUUUGGCUUUUUAGGUAUUAUUAUUAUUAUUAUUAUUAUUAUAAAGAAUGUUGGCGGCUCGGAGUAGGAGUUAAUGGAAGACAAAAGUGACUAGUGAUUAGGACAAGAGAGCUGUUGAGGUCUAAGAGAAGAUAUAGGGAUAGUUGUAUACUUUUUGAUAAUGUUUGACCAAUUGCUACUGGCCACGCGUUUUGGCGUUCGGAACCAGUCUCCAUCCCUAUCUAGUUCCUUACUAUUCACUCUGACCUAACGGGAACCGCUCUUCGUACGGCUUCAUUUUUUUUUACCCUUUAUUAAUUAACCACUUCCUAUGACUUUUCAAUUUCAUCAAGUAACACAAGAAAUAAGUAAAGCUUUAAUCAAGAAAGCAUCAACCUAAGAAAAAAAAAUGAAAAUAGAAAAGAAAGACAAAUAAAUAAUGUGAAAACAAGUUGUAUUGAUAUAUUAUUCACUUGCCUUUACAACCAGCAUAAUAGGAAUUUCACUAAAUGGGGAUACAAUGCCUAUCUAAAUUGGAAAUAAAACCUUAUAAAAAUUAAAGUUUAAUAUAAAAAAAAAAGAUUUAUAAAAUUAUUCUGAGUGGAAACAAAUUUGUAUAAUUACUAACUAUGACGGUAUAUUUGCAACUUUUUUGGACCCUAAAACUUAAUUUUAAGCCGAUGUCAAUAUUACUAUGGAAAAUAAUAUUUAUCUAAUGAAUGGUAAACGUUCAUUUUCACCUUUAUUUCUAUCAUUUUCAUAUGAAAGACGAGAAAGAAGAGGAAAAUGAGAAAGUUCCUUACGGCACCUAGUUUAAAUGUAUGGAAUUCUAUUCGAUUUCAUCAUCUUACUAGUUGUUACAUAAAAUUAGAAAGGCUUGGCAAAGAGCCUCCUAAAAUGAUGUAUGAAGCUGCUUUUCUUUGAGAAGAUGUAUGCAGCUUUUAUAAGCAAAUGAAGCAAAUGAAGGUGAAAAAACGGAAAUGCCAAACAAAGUCAAAAAAAAAAAAAAAAAAAAAAAAAAAAAAAAAAAAAAAAGUGAGGGACAUUAAUCAUCCAGAAUUAUAGCUCUUACAUGUUCUCUCUUGAACAACAACAGAAAAACCAAACACAUAAAUAAAAUCAUUUAGGCACUAUACAAGCACAAACUUUUAAACCAUUUAACCAUUCACAGAUGUCAUAUAGACAUUAGUCAUCCAGCAUUAAUGUGAUACUUCCAUAUAAACUUUAUCAAACCAGUAAUAAUAUCAAUAGCUGUUAGAGUUUCUCUUGAACUAUAGAAAAACCGAAUACAUCUACUAGUUGCAGUGCAACAAAGACAUUCUCCAUUAACAGAGACAAACACAUUCUCUAUCCUCCAUCAACAAAAUCAACAUCUUCAUCUGACCUCAGCGAGCUUCAUACUGAACAACUGCAAGAGGCAAACUUUUUGUGUUAAACCAAAUGAUUAAGCACUGAUAAGUCUUAAGAGUCAAGGGAGUCUGCAUCAGACAAACCAUAAGAUUUUGCUGAAAUCUAGACAUGUAAAAUAUACAUGUGGGAGAAGUGUCUAUGAAAGGAUAUAAAGGCCAAACAAGAAACAAGCACUAAAUGCAUGGUUACAACUGUUGCAUUGUAAACAUGUCAGUAUGUUGCAAAUUGUGGCCGGCACCAUAAAGAAACUUCUUAAAAAAAAAAAAAAAAAAAAUCAAAAAAAAACAAAAAAAAAAAAAAAAAAAAAAAAAAAAAAAAAAAGAAAA